ensembl:lncRNA
GGGCUUCGCAGCAUUGUAGUUCGAAAGAUCGGUUGGCAGUAUAACGUGUACCCAACGAAAGGUGUAACCGUAUGUUGUGUUGACUUAAAGUAUCAACAAACAUUAAUUAACAUUAAUUAAUUGCAUUAUUACAGCCACAGAUCGUGGAAAGCCUCAUCAACUGAUGUCUCCAACCCACGGUCUACCCCCAAGUCCCCAGUCCUAGCAACAAUGCAGCAGUUUGGCUGGCAUCAGCAUCGCUACCCUCAGUGGUUUGGCAAGUUCAACAACCAUGCAGCAGACCCUGUCCUUGUUUUAUGGGGCGCACCGAGGGAGCCCGAGCUGGAGGGUGCCCCUGAGGAGCCUCUGCCGCCACCACCACCACCACCAGAAUGGUUGGAGGAGGGGUUACUGCUGCCGCCCCCGGAGGGGUGGGAUUACGCUUCUGUCCUGUCACUGAGCCCAGUCUCGAUCCUGGUUGGUUUUUGUUUGUGAAUGCAGCCC